rnacentral:sRNA from 1 species
GCCUGACCGACCUUCAGCAGGGCUGCGGCUACCAUGUUCUCUCGCGCGGGCGUCGCUGGGCUGUCGGCCUGGACCUUGCAGCCGCAAUGGAUUCAAGUUCGAAAUAUGGCAACUUUGAAAGAUAACGGAGUCUCAUUCUGUCACCCAGGCUGGAGUGCAGUGGCGCCAUCUGGGCUCACUGCAAGCUCCGCCUCCUGGGUUCACGCCGUUCUCCUGCCUCAGCCUCCCGAGUAGCUGGGACUACAGGUGCCCGCCACCACGCCCAGCUAAUUUUUUGUAUUUUUAGUAGAGACGGGGUUUCACCAUGUUAGCCAAGAUGGUCUUGAUCUCCUGACCUCGUGAUCCGCCCACUUCAGCCUCCCAAAGUGUUGGGAUUACAGGUGUGAGCCACCGCGCCUGGCUAUUAGUACUAGU